AAAAAAGGUAAGCUACUAAGAGCGAAUGGUGGAUGCCUUGACUGGUAAAGGCGAUGAAGGACGUACUAGACUGCGAUAAGCUACGGGGAGCUGUCAAGAAGCUUUGAUCCGUAGAUUUCCGAAUGGGGCAACCCAAUGUAUAGAGAUAUACAUUACCUAUAUAGGAGCGAACGAGGGGAAUUGAAACAUCUUAGUACCCUCAGGAAAAGAAAUCAAUAGAGAUUGCGUCAGUAGCGGCGAGCGAAAGCGCAAGAGGGCAAACCCAGUGCUUGCACUGGGGGUUGUAGGACUGCAAUGUGCAAGAGGUGAGUUUAGCAGAACAUUCUGGAAAGUAUAGCCAUAGAGGGUGAUAGUCCCGUAUGCGAAAAACAAACCUUAGCUAGCAGUAUCCUGAGUAGGGCGGGACACGAGAAAUCCUGUCUGAAGCUGGGUCGACCACGAUCCAACCCUAAAUACUAAUACCAGAUCGAUAGUGCACAAGUACCGUGAGGGAAAGGUGAAAAGAACUGAGGUGAUCAGAGUGAAAUAGAACCUGAAACCAUUUGCUUACAAUCAUUCAGAGCCCUAUGUAGCAAUACAGGGUGAUGGACUGCCUUUUGCAUAAUGAGCCUGCGAGUUGUGGUGUCUGGCAAGGUUAAGCAAACGCGAAGCCGUAGCGAAAGCGAGUCUGAAUAGGGCGCUUAGUCAGAUGCUGCAGACCCGAAACGAAGUGAUCUAUCCAUGAGCAAGUUGAAGCUAGUGUAAGAACUAGUGGAGGACUGAACCCAUAGGCGUUGAAAAGCCCCGGGAUGACUUGUGGAUAGGGGUGAAAGGCCAAUCAAACUUCGUGAUAGCUGGUUCUCUCCGAAAUAUAUUUAGGUAUAGCGUUGUGUCGUAAUAUAAGGGGGUAGAGCACUGAAUGGGCUAGGGCAUACACCAAUGUACCAAACCCUAUCAAACUCCGAAUACCUUAUAUGUAAUCACAGCAGUCAGGCGGCGAGUGAUAAAAUCCGUCGUCAAGAGGGAAACAACCCAGACUACCAGCUAAGGUCCCUAAAUCUUACUUAAGUGGAAAACGAUGUGAAGUUACUUAAACAACCAGGAGGUUGGCUUAGAAGCAGCCAUCCUUUAAAGAAAGCGUAAUAGCUCACUGGUCUAGUGAUUUUGCGCGGAAAAUAUAACGGGGCUAAAGUAAGUACCGAAGCUGUAGACUUGCGCACAACUUAGAUUAUUUAAGUUUAGAAUAUGAGAAACUAAGUUAUAUGUUUAGUUAUAUUUUUACUGAUUUUUAUAGAGUAAAGAUAGAAAUAAAACUUAGUAAAAUCAGUAAAAAUAUUCUUAGACUAAAGUUAAGUAGUUUAAGUUGUGUGCAAGUGGUAGGAGAGCGUUCUAUUUGCGUCGAAGGUAUACCGGUAAGGAGUGCUGGAGCGAAUAGAAGUGAGCAUGCAGGCAUGAGUAGCGAUAAUUAAUGUGAGAAUCAUUAACGCCGUAAACCCAAGGUUUCCUACGCGAUGCUCGUCAUCGUAGGGUUAGUCGGGUCCUAAGUCGAGUCCGAAAGGGGUAGACGAUGGCAAAUUGGUUAAUAUUCCAAUACCAACAUUAGUGUGCGAUGGAAGGACGCUUAGGGCUAAGGGGGCUAGCGGAUGGAAGUGCUAGUCUAAGGUCGUAGGAGGUUAUACAGGCAAAUCCGUAUAACAAUACUCCGAGAACUGAAAGGCUUUUUGAAGUCUUCGGAUGGAUAGAAGAACCCCUGAUGCCGUCGAGCCAAGAAAAGUUUCUAAGUUUAGCUAAUGUUGCCCGUACCGUAAACCGACACAGGUGGGUGGGAUGAGUAUUCUAAGGCGCGUGGAAGAACUCUCUUUAAGGAACUCUGCAAAAUAGCACCGUAUCUUCGGUAUAAGGUGUGGUUCGCUUCGUAUUAGGAUUUACUCCGAAAGCGAAGAAACUUACAACAAAGAGUCCCUCCCGACUGUUUACCAAAAACACAGCACUCUGCUAACUCGUAAGAGGAUGUAUAGGGUGUGACGCCUGCCCGGUGCUCGAAGGUUAAUUGAUGGGGUUAGCAUUAGCGAAGCUCUUGAUCGAAGCCCGAGUAAACGGCGGCCGUAACUAUAACGGUCCUAAGGUAGCGAAAUUCCUUGUCGGUUAAAUACCGACCUGCAUGAAUGGCGUAACGAGAUGGGAGCUGUCUCAAAGAGGGAUCCAGUGAAAUUGUAGUGGAGGUGAAAAUUC
rnacentral:rRNA from 1 species